UGGUAAAACCCCUAGCCUUCCAAGCUAAC
rnacentral:tRNA from 19 species